UACAGAGGGUGCAAGCGUUAAUCGGAAUUAUUGGGCGUAAAGGGUGUGUAGGCGGUUAGGUAAGUUAGAUGUGAAAUCCCCGGGCUUAACCUGGGAACUGCGUUUAAAACUGCUUAGCUAGAGUAUUGCAGAGGAUAGUGGAAUUUCCAGUGUAGCGGUGAAAUGCGUAGAUAUUGGAAGGAACACCAGUGGCGAAGGCGACUAUCUGGGCAAAUACUGACGCUGAGACACGAAAGCGUGGGGAGCAAACAGG
rnacentral:rRNA from 1 species